GACGAACGCUGGCGGCGUGCCUAACACAUGCAAGUCGAGCGAGUGGAUCUCCUUCGGGAGUGAAGCUAGCGGCGGACGGGUGAGUAACACGUGGGCAACCUGCCUCAUAGAGGGGAAUAGCCUUUCGAAAGGAAGAUUAAUACCGCAUAAGAUUGUAGCUUCGCAUGAAGUAGCAAUUAAAGGAGCAAUCCGCUAUGAGAUGGGCCCGCGGCGCAUUAGCUAGUUGGUGAGGUAACGGCUCACCAAGGCGACGAUGCGUAGCCGACCUGGAGAGGGUGAUCGGCCACAUUGGGACUGAGACACGGCCCAGACUCCUACGGGAGGCAGCAGUGGGGAAUAUUGCACAAUGGGGGAAACCCUGAUGCAGCAACGCCGCGUGAGUGAUGACGGCCUUCGGGUUGUAAAGCUCUGUCUUCAGGGACGAUAAUGACGGUACCUGAGGAGGAAGCCACGGCUAACUACGUG
rnacentral:rRNA from 1 species